AUGCACGCUGGCGGCGUGCCUAAUACAUGCAAGUCGCGCGAACAGACGAGGAGCUUGCUCCUCUGAUGUUAGCGGCGGACGGGUGAGUAACACGUGGAUAACCUACCUAUAAGACUGGGAUAACUUCGGGAAACCGGAGCUAAUACCGGAUAACAUGUUGAACCGCAUGGUUCAACAGUGAAAGACGGUCUUGCUGUCACUUAUAGAUGGAUCCGCGCCGCAUUAGCUAGUUGGUAAGGUAACGGCUUACCAAGGCAACGAUGCGUAGCCGACCUGAGAGGGUGAUCGGCCACACUGGAACUGAGACACGGUCCAGACUCCUACGGGAGGCAGCAGUAGGGAAUCUUCCGCAAUGGGCGAAAGCCUGACGGAGCAACGCCGCGUGAGUGAAGAAGGUCUUCGGAUCGUAAAACUCUGUUAUUAGGGAAGAACAAAUGUGUAAGUAACUAUGCACGUCUUGACGGUACCUAAUCAGAAAGCCACGGCUAACUACGUG
rnacentral:rRNA from 1 species